rnacentral:rRNA from 1 species
GAUGAACGCUGGCGGCGUGCCUAAUACAUGCAAGUCGAGCGAACGGACGAGAAGCUUGCUUCUCUGAUGUUAGCGGCGGACGGGUGAGUAACACGUGGAUAACCUACCUAUAAGACUGGGAUAACUUCGGGAAACCGGAGCUAAUACCGGAUAAUAUUUUGAACCGCAUGGUUCAAGAGUGAAAGACGGUCUUGCUGUCACUUAUAGAUGGAUCCGCGCUGCAUUAGCUAGUUGGUAAGGUAACGGCUUACCAAGGCAACGAUGCAUAGCCGACCUGAGAGGAUGAUCGGCCACACUGGAACUGAGACACGGUCCAGACUCCUACGGGAGGCAGCAGUAGGGAAUCUUCCGCAAUGGGCGAAAGCCUGACGGAGCAACGCCGCGUGAGUGAUGAAGGUCUUCGGAUCGUAAAACUCUGUUAUUAGGGAAGAACAUAUGUGUAAGUAACUGUGCACAUCUUGACGGUACCUAAUCAGAAAGCCACGGCUAACUACGUG